UUGGAGGGCAAGUCUGGUGCCAGCAGCCGCGGUAAUUCCAGCUCCAAUAGCGUAUAUUAAAGUUGUUGCAGUUAAAAAGCUCGUAGUUGAAUUUCGGGAUCAAUGGAUUGGUCAUGCCGUUGGUAUGUACUGAUUUUAUUGAUUCUCACCUUCUAAAGAAUCAUAAUGCCAUUAAUUUGGUGUUGUGAGGAAUUAGGACUGUUACCUUGAAAAAAUUAGAGUGUUUAAAGCAGGCUUACGCUUGAAUACAUUAGCAUGGAAUAACGAAAUAGGACAUCGCAUUCUAUUUUGCUGGUUUCUAGGAUCGAUGUAAUGAUUAAUAGGGAUAGUUGGGGGCAUUAGUAUUCAAUUGUCAGAGGUGAAAUUCUUGGAUUUAUUGAAGACUAACUACUGCGAAAGCAUUUGCCAAGGAUGUUUUCAUUAAUCAAGAACGAAAGUUAGGGGAUCGAAGACGAUCAGAUACCGUCGUAGUCUUAACCAUAAACUAUGCCGACUAGGGAUCGGAUGAUGUUAAUUUUUUAAUGACUCAUUCGGCACCUUACGGGAAAC
rnacentral:rRNA from 1 species